GGUAAAAUGGCUGAGUAGGCAUUAGGCUGUAAACCUAAGUACAGAGGUUGAGCCCUCUUUUUACCA
rnacentral:tRNA from 1 species